UGCAAGUCGAGCGGGCGUAGCAAUACGUCAGCGGCAGACGGGUGAGUAACGCGUGGGAACGUACCUUUUGGUUCGGAACAACACAGGGAAACUUGUGCUAAUACCGGAUAAGCCCUUACGGGGAAAGAUUUAUCGCCGAAAGAUCGGCCCGCGUCUGAUUAGCUAGUUGGUGUGGUAACGGCGCACCAAGGCGACGAUCAGUAGCUGGUCUGAGAGGAUGAUCAGCCACAUUGGGACUGAGACACGGCCCAAACUCCUACGGGAGGCAGCAGUGGGGAAUAUUGGACAAUGGGCGCAAGCCUGAUCCAGCCAUGCCGCGUGCGGGAAGAAGGCCUUCGGGUUGUAAACCGCUUUCAGAAGGAACGAAACUGACGGUACUUUCAGAAGAAGGUGCGGCCAACUACGUGCCAGCAGCCGCGGUGAUACGUAGGCACCAAGCGUUGUCCGGAUUUAUUGGGCGUAAAGAGCUCGUAGGCGGUUCAGUAAGUCGGGUGUGAAAUCUUUGGGCUUAACCCAAAGCGUGCAUCUGAUACUGCUGUGACUUGAGUUCGGUAGGGGAGUGGGGAAUUCCUAGUGUAGCGGUGAAAUGCGCAGAUAUUAGGAGGAACACCGGUGGCGAAGGCGCCACUCUGGGCCGAAACUGACGCUGAGGAGCGAAAGCAUGGGUAGCAAACAGGAUUAGAUACCCUGGUAGUCCAUGCCGUAAACGUUGGGCACUAGGUGUGGGUCUCAACCAACGAGAUCCGCGCCGUCGCUAACGCAUUAAGUGCCCGCCUGGGGAGUACGGCCGCAAGGUUAAAACUCAAAGGAAUUGACGGGGGCCCGCACAAGCAGCGGAGCGUGUUGCUUAAUUCGAUGCUACGCGAAGAACCUUACCUGGGCUUGACAUGUGGGGAAAAGCACUAGAGAUAGUGUGUCCUUCGGGGCCUCA
rnacentral:rRNA from 1 species